rnacentral:lncRNA from 1 species
UAAAACAUCUGACAAGAUAACUGACUGAAUCUAUUUCAGACAGCAGCAUAGUUAACUUCAGAAUUCGAUAUCUCCCAAACUACUCAACCACAAAUUAUGAAAUUCUGCUGGCAGUAAGAACUUUUAUCCCUCUACAAAAGUCUCCAUAGUUGAAAUAGUCAAUUCGGCCAUUUACUAGAUGAAACCUACCACUGAACAGACCCACUCAUUUUUGUGAGGCAAACAAGGACAGCCACAGUAAAACAAACAUAACUGGAGUUUCAAAAUUCAUAUGAAUGCACUCUUUAAUAAUCUGGAAAGCUUAUAAAAUUAUAUACAACUUCUUUUACCAACCUAAAGUUUAAUUCUGUUGAUAAAAUUGCCUAAAUCUUAAGAGAACAGAUUCUGCACAGAAUUGUGAGACUAAAAAACUGCUAUAAUCAAACUGAAAUAAUUUUCUGAUCUGAUGUCCGAUUGAGAUGUUCUUCGAGGCCACGGAAAGAUUUACAAAUUAUCUAUGACUCAUAUAAAGACUUUUUAUUUUUUGAGACCACUAAGACCACGGAAAACUGGCAUGAACAGAAACUGUCGAAUCUACCAUUCUGCAGAAAACUAAAUUCGAGAUCAAAACAUAACCCACAUCUAAUCCAACCACUAAUCCUUUAAUCUCCAUGAUCCACAACCUCCAAAAGCACAUAAUUAAAGGGAGGAACAAGGAUUUCAUCCAUACUUAGGGUUUUUGUAACACCCCCACUGGUCCCACACAUUGGAUGUUACCAAAUACCCUUCCCACUAAACUUAUGCAACAUAAGAAAUGGAAUAGAGAGAGAAAGUAUUCCAAAAUCCGGCAGCACCUCCCUUAAAAGAAGCAUAACAAGGGGGGGGGAACAUGGAGUUCAUACAGGAUAUAAAAGACAGAUAAUUCACGUAGUAGAAUCUAAUUGCAAAAGUGGUGAAACACAUUCAUGACCAACUAAAAGGAUAGGUAACUCAGCCCACCCCAAAAACAGCUCAACCACCAUGAAAAGCUAUAACAUAUUAAUUCCCUAGACUUGACCCUCCCUGAUUAACAAUAUUAUUAAGCAGUGGUUCCUUUAUUAAAGGUGUAGUGGCCGUGCUGCUACAUCCCUCUUUUCCCAAAGCAGAAAUCAGGUGCCUGCAUUAAACAAUGCAAGAGUGAGAUGAUACAUCUCAACAAGUAAACAGAGCAAACCACAAUUGGACAAUGUAAACCAACUGUGCUUAAACAACCACGUAGUUCAAAACUUCCUUCUUGAAUAAUAAUUUGCAGCAAGUAAGCAAGUAACUAAUUACUUAACGCCAAGAAGAAUCACAAUGUAAAAAUCCACACUAUCCACAUCCACAUAAUAAAUUCCACACCUCUCCAAUGAAUGCACAUGGCUACAGAUGCAAUAAUGACUUCUGCCUCCAUAUCUCUGAGGAUAUGAAGCUGCAUCAUACCCCUUCUCGGGCAACAUAUGAUGCUCAACGUACCGGUACGGUCGGACCAUAAGAUCACGACGAACUUCCAUGCAAUGAAUAAUGAAUGCAUUAUGCAUGACAACAACAUGAGUUCUUCCCAAAUGAAAUGUGCUAGAUAUAUAUUUCCACCCAUUCCACAUAAUAACCACUUGAGUAACAUGAUCAAACCACAAACUCAACAUAUGUAAUCAAUAAAACACGAAUAUCUUCAAAUGAUGGUACUCAAUUAAAAAUAUGAAUACGAACACAAUAGCACAACAUAAUCAAGUAUAAGACUCUUCAUUCGACAGACGGAAUAACCAUCACUGUUUUACUUGCCUUUACCGGAAGUUUGGGCAAAUCCCUAAGUACGAUCCGGAAGUCCACCACCUGUUUUUGACACCCAACUUAGUGCACCAAAUUCACAUAAUAAGCCUCAAAAACAACGCCGCACCUACGCGCAGUCUCAAACCCUGCCGCGGGUAACAAUUCUCCCCACACCCACCAAACUGCAGCGGCGCUGCUUAACAAUUCCAUAACUUUAAAAUUAAGACAGCAGUGAUGACAACCAAAAACACCAGAGACAACUACAUAAAAUUCUCCAUAAGUUUUGUAUACAAUUUAUGAUUAAAUUCCAACAUCUAACUACCCCAAAACGGUCCACAAGAUAAACCCUGCAAUCUGUUUUUUUCUCUUUUGGACAGCGACAUACUCGGAUUCAAACAGCGAUAACUUUUAAAAUAUAAUUCCGAAUCGAGCGCAUAAGUACUUGUUGGAAAGGUAAGAAAAAGCCCUACAUGAUUCUCAUACUGAUUAACACUAAUUUCUCACGGAAAAUCCCCAGAAACUGCUAUACUGCUGUUGUUCGUCCACCUGAAAAUCUGUUUUUUUGGACAGCCACAUACCCGGAUUCAAACGGUGAUAUCUUUUAAUUUAUAACUCCAAAUUGAGCGCAUAAAUACUCGUUGGAAAGGUAUGCUAAAGUUCUACAUGAUUCCCAAACUGAUUCACAUUAAUUUCCCACGAAAAAGGCCAAGAAACCACUAAUACUACUGCUGUUCGUCCACCUAAAAAUCUGUUUUUUUGGACAGCCACAUACCCGGAUUCAAACGGUGAUAUGUUUUAAUUUAUAACUCCAAAUUGAGCACAUAAAUACUCGUUGGAAAGGUAUGCCAAAGUUCUACAUGAUUCCCAUACUGAUUCCCAUUAAUUUCCCACGAAAAAUGCCCAGAAACCACUAAUACUGCUGCUGUUCGUCCACCCCCUAAAAUUCUGGACAGCCCUUCUACCAAAUCGCAUACGCAACAUCUAAUCAAUUGGAUUGCAACACAAAUGAACAAGAGAUAAACACAAAAAAUCACCUUGGAUUCUUCCCUUUCUCCUUCCUUCUUCCUCCCUCCAAACUCCAAUUGAGAUCGCCACACGACGGAGAACCACGCGGGAGGGAUUCACCUUGGAGAGAGGGGGGGGGGCGGCUAGGGUUUAGGGUGGUGUGGCUGCAAUGGUUUGAGGGAGGAGGAAAUGGGAGGGGGGGCUGCGGCCAAGGGUGUGGGGGAAAUGGGGAAGGGCGG